ACACACCAUCGCCAUCACGCAGGAUGCCGCUGCUGGCAGCACUGCUCUUCUUCUCCUUCUGGGCCUCUGGACUUGGAUUAUCCGGAGUGGAGCAGUCCCAGAUAUCCGUUUCCGCGGAAGUACAGAAAAGUGUUGCAAUAUUUUGCAAGGUAUCAAGUUCAACGUUUGAAAGUGAAGCCAUUCACUGGUACAGGCAGAAAUCCAAUCAGGCUUUGGAGCACCUAAUUCAGGUUUCCUCAACAACAACCCCAGCUCAAGCUAACUUGGGUGGGAGGCGCAACAAAGUUGAAGCAAAAAAGGAUUCUCAAACUUCCACUUCAAUCCUUACUGUAAACUUCAUAGAAAAAGCAGAUGUGGCCACUUACUACUGUGCUGGCUGGGUCUCACAGUACUAG